rnacentral:rRNA from 1 species
AACCUGGGAACUGCAUUCGAAACUGGCAGGCUAGAGUCUUGUAGAGGGGGGUAGAAUUCCAGGUGUAGCGGUGAAAUGCGUAGAGAUCUGGAGGAAUACCGGUGGCGAAGGCGGCCCCCUGGACAAAGACUGACGCUCAGGUGCGAAAGCGUGGGGAGCAAACAGGAUUAGAUACCCUGGUAGUCCACGCCGUAAACGAUGUCGAUUUGGAGGUUGUGCCCUUGAGGCGUGGCUUCCGGAGCUAACGCGUUAAAUCGACCGCCUGGGGAGUACGGCCGCAAGGUUAAAACUCAAAUGAAUUGACGGGGGCCCGCACAAGCGGUGGAGCAUGUGGUUUAAUUCGAUGCAACGCGAAGAACCUUACCUGGUCUUGACAUCCACAGAACUUUCCAGAGAUGGAUUGGUGCCUUCGGGAACUGUGAGACAGGUGCUGCAUGGCUGUCGUCAGCUCGUGUUGUGAAAUGUUGGGUUAAGUCCCGCAACGAGCGCAACCCUUAUCCUUUGUUGCCAGCGGUCCGGCCGGGAACUCAAAGGAGACUGCCAGUGAUAAACUGGAGGAAGGUGGGGAUGACGUCAAGUCAUCAUGGCCCUUACGACCAGGGCUACACACGUGCUACAAUGGCAUAUACAAAGAGAAGCGACCUCGCGAGAGCAAGCGGACCUCAUAAAGUAUGUCGUAGUCCGGAUUGGAGUCUGCAACUCGACUCCAUGAAGUCGGAAUCGCUAGUAAUCGUAGAUCAGAAUGCUACGGUGAAUACGUUCCCGGGCCUUGUACACACCGCCCGUCACACCAUGGGAGUGGGUUGCAAAAGAAGUAGGUAGCUUAACCUUCGGGAGGGCGCUUACCACUUUGUGAUUCAUGACUGGGGUGAAGUCGUAACAAGGUAACCGUAGGGGAACCUGCGGUUGGAUCACCUCCUUACCUUAAAGAA